rnacentral:rRNA from 1 species
AGUGAGGAAUAUUGCGCAAUGGGGGCAACCCUGACGCAGCGACGCCGCGUGGAUGAUGAAGGCUUUCGAGUCGUAAAAUCCUGUCAGAUGGGAAGAAGUGGUUGUUGGUUAAUACCCAACAAUUUUGACGGUACCAUCAAAGGAAGCACCGGCUAACUCCGUGCCAGCAGCCGCGGUAAUACGGAGGGUGCAAGCGUUGUUCGGAAUUACUGGGCGUAAAGCGCGCGUAGGCGGCUUAUUAAGUCAGAUGUGAAAGUCCACGGCUCAACCGUGGAAGUGCAUUUGAAACUGGUAAGCUUGAGUAUCAGAGGGGACAGUGGAAUUCCCGGUGUAGAGGUGAAAUUCGUAGAUAUCGGGAGGAAUACCGGUGGCGAAGGCGACUGUCUGGCUGAAUACUGACGCUGAGGUGCGAAAGCAUGGGGAGCAAA